rnacentral:rRNA from 1 species
ACUCAAAUGAAUUGACGGGGACCCACACAAGCGGUGGAGCAUGGGGUUUAAUUCGAUAAUAACCGAAGCACCUCACCCAGACUUGACAUCUAGAGAACCCUGCAGAAAUGCGGGGGUGCCGCAAGGAACUCUAAGACAGGCGCUGCACGGUCGUCGUCAGCUCGUGCCUUGAGGUGUACUGUUAAGUCAGCGAACGAGCGCAACCCUCAUCCUAUGUUGUUUUUUCAUGGGAGACUGCCGCCUCCAAGGCGGAGGAAGGUGGGGAUGACGUCAGAUCAGCGUGGCCCUUAUGUCUGGGGCAACACCCAUGCUACAAUGGCCGGUACAAAGAGCAGCUAACCCGCGAGGGCAAGCCAAUCUCAUCAAACCCGGUCUCAGUUCGGAUUGCAGGCUGCAACUCGCCUGCAUGAAGUUGGAAUCGCUAGUAACCGUCAAUCAGCUAUGUGACGGUGAAUAAGUUCCUGGGUCUUGUACACACCGCCCGU